ensembl:lncRNA
AGAAACAAACUACAUCUUGGGUGGCCUGAGGGGAAUCUCAUCAUUAAGAAGGAGGCUUUACGGAGUCAUUAUGAGUUCACACCUCAGCUAGCGCGUCUUGUCACUCUUACUGGCAGCCAGGGAUCAGAUCAAGUGUAUUGGUCGGAGCUAAAGGUGGCGGUGGGCGUGUGUGGAAGGGUGUUAGAUCUAUCAGUCUGUCUGAGGGGGAAGAAGCCUCUUCACUGGGGGUCCAGAUCCCGAGAUGUUGACACCUCCAUCGCAGGUCAUGGGAGAGUCUCUGAGAGUUUGAUUAAUGAAGGUGCAGGAGAUGUGAACAGAGAAAAUCUGCGAUUAGCCCAGUUUUUAUGUGGUUUCAGCAGAAUAGCUCUAAGUUUGUCUAUCUAUUACUGCUUUUGUCUGUCCACUUUUCGCUUUUGUAUUGCUUACAAAAAUUUUUGGUUUGCAUGUUUAUUCACUAAAAUGCUUUCCUUAUGCCACUGCAUUUAAAUAUGUUACAAUACAACAGCAUACAGCGUGAGUAAAUACAUUAAACAUUUUGGGCAAUUUACAAAAUGAUUUUAAAUUAUUGUUUUAAUGUAAUUUAUUGUUGUUGUAUAUUGUUAAGACUUUUUAUAAUAUAUAUAUAUAUAUAAGGUAAUGCAUAUUAAUACAUUUGAAAUAUAUUUAAGGAAAUAGUUGACCCAAGAAUUCAAAUUUGCUAACAGUUUCCUCACCCUCAGGCCAUCCAUGCAGAUGAGUUUAUUUCCCCAUCAGACCAGAUUUGGAGAAAUGUAACUUUACAUCACUUGCUCACCAGUGGAUCCUCUGCAGUGAAUGGGUGCCGUCAAAAUGAGAGUCCAAACAGCUGAUAAAAACAUCACAAUAAUCUACAAGUAAUCCACACGACCAGUCCAUCAAUUAACAUCUUGUGAAGCAGAAAGCUGUGCGUUUGUAAGAAACAAAUCCAUCAAGACAUUUUAACUUUGCUUCCACCUAAAAUAUAAGUCCUCUAUUAUAAUAUUGCUUUCUCCAGUGUAAAAGACGUCUCGUCUGAAUCAGGAGAGAAAUAUGCAUAGAUCAAGCACUGUUUACGAGAGAAAACAGUUAAAAACAAACAAGUCAGUGGAUUUUGGAAGCAUUAUUACUGAUUUUCUACUCAUAUAUUCACCAGAAGUGACAAUUUAAUGAUAAAAAUGCCUUAAUGAUGUAUUUGUUUCUUACAAACAUGAAGCUUUUUGCUUCACAAGGCAUUAACUGAUGGACUGGAGGUUAUUUUUAUCAGCUGUUUAGACUCUCAUUCUGAUGGCACCCAUUCACUGCAGAGGAUCCAUUGGUGAGCAAGUGAUGAAAUGCUAAAUUUCUCCAAAUCUCUUCCAAUAAUGAAACAAAUUGAUCUACAUCUCGGCCUAUUUUCUGUUGUUGAAAUUGUAGCAAUGCACUGUUCAAACAGAAGUCACUUUAAAACCAAGUGCUUAUGUUAGUUCUAUCGCAAAAACCCAGAUCGUGC